UUCUACAAAGUCAAAUCAACAACUAUGUCUUGUACUCAGUAUUGUUCAAAGAAAAUCUUCAAACUUCAAUAUUUAGUCCAAUAAUCUUUUGCUUCCAAAACAGCUAAAAUCCUUCUUGGCAUACUUUUGUAUAGUUUCUCACAAUCUUUUGCAUCAAAACUAGGGUAAAUACUACAAACAUUCUCCCACAAUUCUUGAAC
rnacentral:lncRNA from 1 species